ensembl:lncRNA
GAGCGUGUGACCCAGGCUCAGCAGUGUUUAAUGGGAGCUACUGUAGAGAGCAGAUAGUUAGUGCACAGGUCAGGGAAGUCAAAUAACGCGGCUGACACGUAAACGCUAUAAUGUGAGAAGAGCGUGAAAGAGAGAGGGCAAAUGAGGGAGAGAAAGAGGGAGAUGGAUAAUCUCAGCCUAGUGUGUGUCUGUACAUAUCGAAAUUAAGACAUCACUUCAUAUUCCGACGCUGCACUGGAUCUAUAAUCAGGGGUCUAUAAUCAGGGGUCUAUAAUCAGGGGUCUAUAAUCGGGGACGUAUAAUCAGGGGUGUAUAAUCAGGGGUGUAUAAUCGGGGACGUAUAAUCAGGGGUGUAUAAUCGGGGGCGUAUAAUCAGGGGCGUAUAAUCGGGGUUUAUAAUCGGGGGUGUAUAAUCGAGGUGUAUAAUCGGGGGCGUAUAAUCGGGGACGUAUAAUCGGGGGCGUAUAAUCGGGGUUUAUAAUCGGGGGCGUAUAAUCGGGGGCGUAUAAUCGGGGGCGUAUAAUCGGGAUGUAUAAUCGGGGGUGUAUAAUCGGGGGCGUAUAAUCGGGGGCGUAUAAUCGGGGUUUAUAAUCGGGGGCAUAUAAUCGGGGGCCUAUAAUCGGGGGCGUAUAAUCGGGGUUUAUAAUCGGGGGCGUAUAAUCGGGGGCGUAUAAUCAGGGGUGUAUAAUCGGGGACGUAUAAUCGGGGUUUAUAAUCAGGGGUGUAUAAUCGGGGAUAUAUAAUCGGGGUUUAUAAUCAGGGGUGUAUAAUCGGGGACGUAUAAUCAGGGGUGUAUAAUCGGGGACGUAUAAUCAGGGACGUAUAAUCGGGGGUGUAUAAUCGGGGACGUAUAAUCGGGGGUGUAUAAUCGGGGACGUAUAAUCAGGGGUGUAUAAUCGGGGACGUAUAAUUGGGAUAUAUAAUCGGGGGUGUAUAAUCGGGGAUAUAUAAUCGGGGUUUAUAAUCAGGGGUGUAUAAUCGGGGACGUAUAAUCAGGGGUGUAUAAUCGGGACGUAUAAUCAGGGACGUAUAAUCGGGGGUGUAUAAUCGGGGACGUAUAAUCGGGGGUGUAUAAUCGGGGACGUAUAAUCAGGGGUGUAUAAUCGGGGACGUAUAAUUGGGAUAUAUAAUCGGGGUUUAUAAUCAGGGGUGUAUAGUCAGGGGUGUAUAAUCGGGGACGUAUAAUCAGGGGUGUAUAAUCGGGGACGUAUAAUCGGGGUUUAUAAUCGGGGGUGUAUAAUCGGGGGCGUAUAAUCGGGGGCGUAUAAUCGGGGGCGUAUAAUCGGGAUGUAUAAUCGGGGGUGUAUAAUCGGGGACGUAUAAUCGGGGUUUAUAAUCGGGGGUGUAUAAUCGGGGGCGUAUAAUCGGGG